CAGAACACGCCGAUUGAACAUCGUCUGCUACGAAAUUCCACUUUCAAUUUACCUUCUUCGAUCGGAUAUUCUAGCGAAUAAUAGGAUGAUUGCUGACAUACUGCAAAGGGCUGAUGCUUAAAGUAGCAUGAAAUUUGAAUGAUAUAAUCAUUCCGGCAUUUCUUGUAUAAGGAUUGAGUAAUAAUGAUAGCGAUCGAGAUAAGGGGAUUCCGUAUUAUCUUUACCGAAAGAAAAUCUAUUUUUAUUGUUAAUGAUAAUCGAUAGAAAGACAAAGAUGAAAAUUACCUGAGUAACACCUGCUUCAACGCCGUUUUGCUUCACUCCUCGUUCCAUGAGGGAACCGAUAACAGCC